rnacentral:rRNA from 1 species
AGCGAACGCUGGCGGCAGGCUUAACACAUGCAAGUCGAGCGGGCACUUUCGGGUGUCCGCGGCGGACGGGUGCGUAACGCGUGGGAACGUGCCCUCUGGUUCGGAAUAACUCAGGGAAACUUGAGCUAAUACCGGAUACGCCCUCUUGGGGAAAGGCUUGCUGCCGGAGGAUCGGCCAGCGUCUGAUUAGCUAGUUGGUGAGGUAACGGCUUACCAAGGGGACGAUAAGUAGCUGGUCUGAGAGGAAGAUCAGUCACUCUGGGACUGAGACACGGCCCAGACUCCUACGGGAGGCAGCAGUGGGUAAUAUUGGACAAUGGGCGCAAGCCUGAUCCAGCCAUGCCGCGUGAGUGAUGAAGGCCUUAGGGUUGUAAAGCUCUUUUAUCCGGGACGAUAAUGACGGUACCGGAGGAAUAAGCCCCGGCUAACUUCGUG